AAUCAUAAAGUGAAGGUAGAGAAGUUUGGAAUAGUAACCUCGUGGUUUCAUUACCCACGCAUUGGAGAUCCCAUGCAAACUAUUGUGAUUUGUGAGAAGUUUCAGAAAUUUGCAAUUUGUGAGCGGCGUAAAAAUGUCAUAAAUACAGUCACAAACCCAUCAGAUCUAUGCUAUGGAUGCCGUGGUGAUUGCUGGAACGGAGGGUUCCUGGGAUGAUGAGAAGAUGAAUCUAAAUGGUCUGAUGGUCUGAGUACUCGUCGGCAUGACGAGGUGACUACAGAUCCACCAUAACAUGCGAGUGGCAAUGCUCCAGGACAAGCAGCCGGCGAUGGCAUACCUUCACAGAAUGGAGUACGGCGUAGGUGUUCAAGGGUUGUAUCAGGCCACAUGGGAAGAACCUGAAGUUGCAAGUGGAUACGGUCAAGAACAUAGUUAAAGGUGAUAUGGGAGAUAAGUUCCAUAGGCAAGCUGGAUUGAGGCUUGAUGAGCCGAACCCAAGGGACGUGCUUAGUUUCUACCACAAAAUUCUAUCAUUCACAUCAACGGAUGUUGCAAACAGGAAGUGGUUCAAGCAUACUUAUCCAAAUCUUAUAAUCCUGAGGGAGAAGACUUUGUGAAGGAGUUCAGGCUGAAUGGCCAGUUAACAAGAAUCGGGUGGAUCUGCGUGUGGUGGAUGAUCGUUUACAAGGAAUGUUGAAUGUAUGGUUCCUGCAGAUGUUCAGGUGGCACCACGUAUUCGACCUGCGAUUUGUGAAACAGUGAAGUCACUGCCAUCGCCAUGAGAGUGGAGCAGCAUCACUAUAAGAUGUGGCGGAUUGGUGGGUCCCGGGUCAAAAAGUGCCCAAGACUCGCGCAACCAAGUUUUCUGGAGGCCGAGCAACAUGACAUAGCCACGGACAAAAUGGAGGAAGGGAAGGGUGUGGAGGAGAGGGGAAUUUACCACUUCGCGCAACGGCAACGUUGCGUGAGGGACAUUCAUCUUCCACCUGAGCCGCAUAUGCAACUAAUUGUUCAAUAAACAUUCUUGCAAGAGCAAGAGGCUCGCCACUGUUGGUCGUUAGUACUCUUGCUUAUAAUUUCUUCACUUCAACUUAUAGGGAAACAUAGUAAUGCUUGAUGCACGACUUGAUACCUUCAAGGAUAAGCUGUCUGGAAAGCUUCUACCUGAUCAGCGAGGUAGUUGCCAUAAUACUACCUGAUCAUUAGACUCACUUUUACUUCUAUUCUCUUUCCUUUUUACAUGAUUAUUUAACAUUGACACAGGGAUUCCAUAGUGUAUUCUCUCCAAUGGAGUCGAUAUAGCCAUAUACCAUUCUUCAGAGAAUGGAAUAGGUGAGUAGAACAAAACUAUAGGUGCAAAGAACAAGCAUGAUAUAU